CAGCCCCCGCCCUGGAGAACUGGUGCCCCGAGCCGUGCUAAGGUUGGGGAGGUGCUGGGUGCUCGGAAGAGAGGGUGCUUGGAAAGGGGGCCUCAGAGGGGAGCCGGGGUGGAUCUCCAUGGAAGGGAGACGCUUGCGCCAGCUCAGGAGUGGAGUUCGUGCUCCACCGGUUCCUUAAACUGCGAGUACGAAAUCCCCAGAGGGGAGCUGAGCUGGUGCCCCGCGUGCCUCUCACUCUCCACCCCCCACCCGCAGGCCAGACCUGCGCUGCCCACCCCAGGAGGGAGCGCCUAUCUUCCUCGGCGUGGGCCGCUGGUGCUCCCGCCUCUCCACAGCCCUAGCCCUGUGUGUGCAUCCAGGUGGAGGAGCAGCCUUAGCCAGCUCCUAAGCUUCUUAGCCGGGCUGAAUAUUGGCGGGGACAGAGAUGAGGUUGAGAGAUAAGAAGGAAGGCGUCGAUGGGGCUUCUUCCCUUUCUUCUACUGGGAGCAGAAGAGUUGAGCCCUGCUGCCUCAGUUUACCCAUCCCCUCUUCACAGAAGAACUGAGAUGAUUGGAUGAACAAAUUGCAGUAUGCAAUGGAAUAUUACUCAGCCGUGAAGAGUACUGAUACAUGCUACUACUACGUGGAUGAAGCUCCAAAACAUUAUGUUAGUUGAAAGAAGCCCGACAUAGAAGGUCACAUAUUAUACGAUUCAAUUUAUAUGAAAUAUCCAGAAUAAAUAAAUCCAUGAAACAGGAA
rnacentral:lncRNA from 10 species